rnacentral:rRNA from 1 species
CUCCUGGAAACGGGUGGUAAUGCCGGAUGCUCCCGCGCCCCGCAUGGGGUCCGGGAAAGCUCUGGCGGCGUGGGAUGGGGUCGCGUCCUAUCAGCUUGUUGGCGGGGUGAGGGCCCACCAAGGCUUCGACGGGUAGCCGGCCUGAGAGGGCGACCGGCCACAUUGGGACUGAGAUACGGCCCAGACUCCUACGGGAGGCAGCAGUGGGGAAUAUUGCACAAUGGGCGCAAGCCUGAUGCAGCGACGCCGCGUGCGGGAUGGAGGCCUUCGGGUUGUAAACCGCUUUUGUUUGGGAGCAAGCCCUUCGGGGUGAGUGUACCUUUCGAAUAAGCACCGGCUAACUACGUGCCAGCAGCCGCGGUAAUACGUAGGGUGCGAGCGUUAUCCGGAAUUAUUGGGCGUAAAGGGCUCGUAGGCGGUUCGUCGCGUCCGGUGUGAAAGUCCAUCGCUUAACGGUGGAUCCGCGUCGGGUACGGGCGGGCUGGAGUGCGGUAGGGGAGACUGGAAUUCCCGGUGUAACGGUGGAAUGUGUAGAUAUCGGGAAGAACACC